AGACCUACAGCCAGACAGGAUGAUCACAGACAAUGUGAUUUGGUGAUGGGAGCUAUGAGCAGUGCAGGCAUGUUGGAUUCAAGGGAUGUUGGGAUCUUUUCUCUCAUCACCUCUGUACCGUCCACGUUUUUGCCCUCAGGCCCUGUUGAAGAGAAUGGACAGUCAUCUGAAAAAAGACAAUUCUGUUACGUACCACGUAUACAGCUCAAACCCCGACCGACCAGAAACCUCAGCCCAGCCGGAUGGGUUGUACAGUCUUCUGCAAGCACACUGACACUACACCACUGGCUUUCUGUAGCUAUUUCUCACAGAAAUACUCUUUCUUGCAGGAUGACCUUUAUUUAUCAAACAUCAUGUUACUGUAAAUAAGUAUGGAAUACUUAUUUAUAAUCUUAUAAUCUUAUUUAUAAUCUUAUAAUCUGCUGCAGUACCGUUUCUAUUUAUAAGCAACAUAAGUGGCUGCCAUCCCAAUGUGUAGAACUGCAGGAAAUAAGCUUUGAAACUGAAUUUCUUUCUACCCCAUGGCAUAAUGUGUACAAAUGCGGGAAAUUAGCUUUAGAACUGCAAAGUUCCCUCCGCCACAUGGCAAAAUGAGUAGAAAUUCAGGACAUUAACUUUAAAGCUGCACUAUUUUCACUAAAAUGUUUUUCUUUAGAACUUUAGAAGCCUAAAUACACUAUACAUUUCCAUGUCCUGCUGUACAGGAAAAUUCUCAUAAAAAAAGAGUGAUCAAACUAAGAUCCUACAAUGUUUCGAAACACACUAUAGCCCAACAGUAAAGAUGGUGGAUCAGGCUAUGGGGAUGGUUAUUUUGUUUAAAAAAAUGGUGGGUCCGCCCUCACCUCCUAAUCCCUCUUCUAUAAGAUUCUUGAUAUACACUAAA